GGAAGGUGGGGAUGACGUCAAAUCAUCAUGCCCCUUAUGUCCUGGGCUACACACGUGCUACAAUGGCUGGUACAAAGAGUUGCAAUCCUGUGAAGGGGAGCUAAUCUCAAAAAACCAGUCUCAGUUCAGAUUGAAGUCUGCAACUCGACUUCAUGAAGCCGGAAUCACUAGUAAUCGCGAAUCAGCUAUGUCGCGGUGAAUACGUUCUCGGGUCUUGUACACACCGCCCGUCACACCAUGAGAGUUGGUAAUACC
rnacentral:rRNA from 1 species